CGCCACCUCAGUUGAUUGACAGGUCUCUGCACGUCAAUGUUAAAGUAGCGUCUGUGGAAAGACAAACACGGGAGGCAGAAUAAACGUCUUUCAAAACACGAAUGGAUCGUGAGGACCUACUUUAACUACAUCACUCUGAAAUGAGAACUGGCCAGCCUUGUGGACUGAGAGUCAUCAACAGGCAUCCUUGGUUAGAGUGGAGGGACAGAAAGUUCAUUCCUGAGUGACGGAGUCUAGUUCCGGAGGUGGAGUAGCUGUGACAGAGACACCACUCAUCCUAUUACAAGACACUGAACCGUCAACAUGAAGUCGAAGCUGCUAUUUAAGAAGAACAGAAGAGCCAGUGGUUGCUUUUCAUUUUCAACGACAACGUGCCAGCUACGGUUCGUGUUAGCUUGUAUGUGUGUGCUAACCACUUCAGGUCGGACUGCUUCAGUAACGAGGGUCAGUACAAAGCUGGCUUUGUCUCGACACUGACCCUCGUAAAAGGGUCAGUCCCAACCAUAAGAGACCCAGGAACUGCACCCGAGCCACAGGUGUUCAGGCUACUGUGUCCUGCAAGGAUUUUGGUGUUGGGACAUCCACUGCAGACCCUUUCCGUUUUUCCUCAACACCUGUAAAGAGACCCUCAAAAAGACCUCGUCUGGAGCUUGAAGAGGAGCUGGAGGACGAUCCAUUAGAGGGCAGCUCUUCAGUGGCAGCUUCAAAGGGGCAGGAUCCCACCUAUGAUCCUGCAGAGUCCGUCACAGCGCUGUCAGAGUCAACACUUUAGUCACAAGAAUCAUCCGCUCCCACCCACAAGAUCAGAAAAUCCAUAGUCCAUUCCUGUCCGUGGAGCAGCGAUGCCCCCAUUGUGAUUUCUACACACACUGGAAUAGCCGGCCUAUCCAUGGGAGCACACCAGCUGGGAACCUCCACCUUUCGGCAGCUGGGUACCUGAGAGGUGCAUCCUUGAAAAUUGCACGGGUCUUCAAGGCGAUGGAGCUGCAACUUUUUCAGUACAACACAUUUCGCCGGCAUGCCAGAUCUUUCACUGAACCUGCAGUCAUUCACCAGCGGAAAACAUUACAGGAUGUGAUGCUGCAGCGGCUCAGUCAGGAGAGCAAAGUUCUAGUUGGUGGCGACAUGAGAGCCGACUCUGCAGGUAUUUACACGUCAAUGAAAUAGAGCAGUUUAUCCAGGUUUGUGAUAUAUUGUUAAGUUCAAAGUAGAGUGACAUUAUGACACAUAUAAUAAGAUAUGUGAUGAUGAUGUGCGAAAUU